rnacentral:rRNA from 1 species
CCUACGGGCGGCUGCAGUGGGGAAUAUUGGACAAUGGGCGAAAGCCUGAUCCAGCCAUGCCGCGUGUGUGAAGAAGGCCUUCGGGUUGUAAAGCACUUUCAGUGGGGAAGAAAGCCUUGGGGCUAAUACCCUCGAGGAAGGACAUCACCCACAGAAGAAGCACCGGCUAACUCCGUGCCAGCAGCCGCGGUAAUACGGAGGGUGCGAGCGUUAAUCGGAAUUACUGGGCGUAAAGCGCGCGUAGGCGGUCUGAUAAGCCGGUUGUGAAAGCCCCGGGCUCAACCUGGGAACGGCAUCCGGGAGUGAGAGGGGAAAGUGCAGGAGAGGAAGGAAGAAGUGCCGGUGGAGCGGUGAAAUGCGGAGAGAUCGGAAGGGAUGCCAGGGGCGAAGGCGGGCUACAGGACUGACGCUGACGCUGAGGUGCGAAAGCGUUGAUAGCCAACAGGAGCAGGUACACCAGUAGUC